rnacentral:lncRNA from 1 species
UGAGGAAUGUGGUGCAGCUGUACACCAGCAUGGAAAGGAAAUGGCUUUGGAGAACACACGGCCCUUUCUACAUCAGUAGAAAGUAAGUGGCAGAUUGUCCUCUACUCUUUUACUGGCAGUCACUGAUGUGUAAAGCUUUCGUUAUGUCCUUGAUUUUUGACUGUCAGACUGUUCAAUUCAACAAGGAGAACUUUUCAGAGAUGACGCUGGAUAGAAGUCUAGCCACAAAGAAUUCCCCUCCAUGUAUGGUUCUUGGGACUUGUUAAAACAGACCCCAGCUGCUAUUCUUUAGACUAUAAAGUAAGCUUCUCAUUAAUUCUGCCCCUUUAGCAGCUGACAGGCAAUUUGACUGCUUAGAAAACACACUGAGCUUUUAUGACCCACACGUUUUUGCUCUUGAAUCAAGAGACGGAGGAUGGCGCUUUUGAAUUGAAGCUUUCCAAGGUUUUCUCUGCCCUUUUCUCCACUCUUGAGAAAUCCACAAGGGAACAUGCUGAAGAUGGAUGUAUGUUAGUGUCCACAGAAAGAAGACCAUAGGUUCAGAUGGAUAGAAGUGCAACAAUGACAACAGAAAACACUCAGAGGAGAGACAGCAAAGGAAGUAAAAAUAGCUGAAGGCACAUCUUGACAUGGAAUGGCUCACCCAACAACCUCAUCAUAUGCUCUAAUUAAGCACCUGAAAGCAAAAAUCUGAAAUAAUUGAUAAUAUUUAACGAUAGUACUGGAGCAGAGCAAAGCAAACUACAAAGCCAAGAUAAUGAACUUCACUGUUGAGACAUCUUAAUGGAAGACAUCUGUAUUAUCUGUACCUUAUCAUUUGUAUGUUGACUUCAG